GUCCCUGUAGCGCAAUGGGUAGCGCGUUUGAUUUCUAAUCCAAAGGUUGUGGAUUCGAAUCCCACCUGGGAUG